GACGAACGCUGGCGGCGUGCUUAACACAUGCAAGUCGAACGGAAAGGCCUGCUUUCCCUUGUGGAUUGCGGGUACUCGAGUGGCGAACGGGUGAGUAACACGUGAGUGAUCUGCCCCCAACUUGGGUAUAAGCCUGGGAAACUGGGUCUAAUUCCCGAUAGGACUGCAGGGUGGUGCCUGUGGUGGAAAACGAUUUUCUAGUGGUUGGGGAUGAGCUCGCGGCCUAUCAGCUUGUUGGUGGGGUAAUGGCCUACCAAGGCGGCGACGGGUAGCCGGCCUGGGAGGGUGGACGGCCACAUUGGGACGGGGAUACGGCCCAGACUCCUACGGGAGGCAGCAGGGGGGAAUAUUGCACAAGGGGCGGAAGCCUGAUACAGCGACGCCGCGUGGGGGAUGACGGCCUUCGGGUUGUAAACUCCUUUCGACCGCGAGGAAGCCACCUGGUUGGAAGGGUGGUGACGGUAGUGGUAGAAGAAGCACCGGCUAACUACGUG
rnacentral:rRNA from 1 species